UGGUGGCGACCGGCGCACGGGUGAGUAACGCGUAUGCAACCCACCUACCAGAGGGGAAUAACCCGGCGAAAGGCGGACUAAUACCGCAUAAAACAGGGGCACCGCAUGGUGAUAUUUGUUAAAGAAAUUCGCUGAUAGAUGGGCAUGCGUUCCAUUAGGUAGUUGGUGAGGUAACGGCUCACCAAGCCGACGAUGGAUAGGGGAACUGAGAGGUUGGUCCCCCACACUGGUACUGAGACACGGACCAGACUCCUACGGGAGGCAGCAGUGAGGAAUAUUGGUCAAUGGGCGAGAGCCUGAACCAGCCAAGUCGCGUGAAGGAAGAAGGAUCUAUGGUUCGUAAACUUCUUUUGCAGGGGAAUAAAGUGCAGGACGUGUCCUGUUUUGUAUGUACCCUGAGAAUAAGGAUCGGCUAACUCCGUGCCAGCAGCCGCGGUAAUACGGAGGAUCCGAGCGUUAUCCGGAUUUAUUGGGUUUAAAGGGUGCGUAGGUGGUUUGAUAAGUCAGCGGUGAAAGUUUGCAGCUUAACUGUAAAAAUGCCGUUGAAACUGUCGGACUUGAGUGUAAAUGAGGUAGGCGGAAUGCGUGGUGUAGCGGUGAAAUGCUUAGAUAUCACGAAGAACUCCGAUUG
rnacentral:rRNA from 1 species